GACGAACGCUGGCGGCGUGCCUAAUACAUGCAAGUCGAGCGAAGUUUUUCUGGUGCUUGCACUAGAAAAACUUAGCGGCGAACGGGUGAGUAACACGUAAAGAACCUGCCUCAUAGACUGGGACAACUAUUGGAAACGAUAGCUAAUACCGGAUAACAGUAUUUCUCGCAUGAGAGAUAUUUAAAAGUUGGUUAUGCUAACACUAUGAGAUUGCUUUGCGGUGCAUUAGCUAGUUGGUGGGGUAAAGGCCCACCAAGGCGACGAUGAAUAGCCGACCUGAGAGGGUGAUCGGCCACACUGGGACUGAGACACGGCCCAGACUCCUACGGGAGGCAGCAGUAGGGAAUCUUCGGCAAUGGGCGAAAGCCUGACGGAGCAACGCCGCGUGAGUGAAGAAGGAUUUCGGUUCGUAAAGCUCUGUUGUUAGGGAAGAAUGGAUAUGUAGUAACUAGACAAGUAAGAGACGGUACCUAACCAGAAAGCCACGGCUAACUACGUG
rnacentral:rRNA from 1 species